UCAGCCAGAGGAAAGGCUGGGGGAGGGGAGUCCCAAAGCUGUGAGGAUCCCCACCCAGAAAGGGAGGCUCUGUCUGUCCUGCUGGUGUGAGGGAAGGUUUCUCAGGUGAGAGCUGGUUCAUACGCUCGGUCUCAUACACGAGGGACCCCUGUGUACCAAGCCUCCUGCUGCUGAGAAUACAAGGUGAGGCUUAGUCGUCUUUCUCUCAGGGACAACUGAAAAGAGAAUGACCACCCCUUUUCCUGUGAGUGUCACCCCUUCACUUUCAGAAGCUCAUCCAGCCAGCUGAGGCCUCAGACCACCUAAUUCACGCUGUCCCCUCAUCCCCCGCGGACAGGUCUGGUUCCCCGAUGCUAGAAGACCUCAGAACCUCACUGUUCCCAACCAGUCUGGCCCCAUCCUUUCCAGACCUCCCAGAAACUGAAGAAGGAAAGAAUGGGAGGAGGGGACCGUGUGGUCCCAGAGAAAUGGCUGCUGACAGAUGGGACAAAGGCCCUAGAACUCCGAACACCCCCCACACACACACACCCAGAAAAUGGCCACGAGUGGCAGAGGAGCUGUGUCUGUUUCUCUGCCAAGCCGCACACCACAUUCCCACGGGAGCCACUCGGCACAGGGUGGAGACAGCUGUUCCCCUCAGCAGAUGUUCUCGCGGGAGGCAGGGGAGCUCACUCCCAAGCCGGAUCCUCAUGACUCACCCCGUAGGCCUAAGCGGCCUGCUGAGCCUGCCGUGUGACGAAGGCAGAUCAGACAGCCAGUGGGGGGCCCCGCAGCCUUCCGCAAAAUGAAGCUGCUAUAGUAGCUUUGCCGGCACCUUCCUGCUGCGAGGGCAGAGGCUAUCUCUGUCCCUGCUGUCCCCCUAAGGCCGAGCACAAUGCUGGCCUUGAAUUCCUGUGCAUUUAUUAAGCACCUGCCUUGUGGCUGGCAGUAUGCAGCCUCACUGCAGUAUGCAGUCUACUGAGGUAGACACAGGAGCUCCUCACAAAACUGACAGAUGGUGGCAUUAAGGUUAUGACAGUGGCAUGCACAGGGGCUAUGGGACUCAGGCUGGGCCCCUGUUGGCUGUGCUGAACCAGAGGAGAAGUCUAUGGGGCCCGUCAGGCCCAGGGAGAGCCCCGGCCCUCAGAAGGUUCGUCACACCAGAAGAUUCCCAGGCCCAUCCCGCGUUGUUUCAGAUCCUACCAGGUCCUCUGCCAGAAACAAGCCUGUCCUGGAGGCUCUCCCACCUCAGCAAGGCUCAGAAACCUUUCCUGACUGUCACACCCUUCUCCGUGAGGCUCACCUCCUGGAAGGUUCUCGCUGAGCAUUCCCAGCCACACCACCCUAGUCUGCAGUCCACACUACGUGAAAACUCAAGGAGACAAAGAGAAGGUGGCGUGGCCAAGAUCCAGGGAGGGUCUAGCGCCAGGGAGGGUAUGAGGCCAGGAUGUCCAGACCGUGACGCCCAAUCCCUCUGAGUCCAAGUUCCCUCAGGGGGUAAUAGGAAGGGGCAGGAUCCCACUGUCUGGGCUGCCGGAUCCGGGCACUGUUCUCUGAAGCCAGGCACCCUGUCUCCCAACCCCUCUACCUCCAUUCCUGGCCCAGCUACCUCCCAGCUUUCUGGAUUUUCUCAUAGCACAUCACUCACCACGCUGUGUUUCUCUUAGUUGCAUGAAACCUAUUCUGCCUGAGAAACUCAUUUGGAUUUAAUGGGGUAAGAAGGUGUUGAAGUUAGAAAUAUUUGCUUAGUUUAGCAAUAUGUAUAAGCACAUGUCACCUUCAUUUUACUGAAGUGAAGCCUCCUCACCAGGCUGUGAGCUGGAUCAGGCACUAAUUUCUACAGAGUCAAUGUAAUAUUUUUAAUCAUCCCCUCCAAUAAUUUACAACAUGAUUUUUCGAGACAACAUGGCCAGCACAGUUAGUCUGGACCCAGUCAUUGAACAUGGUCCUGAUGAUUUGCUUUGUUAUUUCCUUAGGGGAACCACUCAGUCCCUCCACACAGUUUUCUUCUCCAAAUAUUGUCCCCUUUGUCCUUCUAUCCAUCUCUGAAAGUGCAUGAGGAAGACCCGACGCCCCCAAAUGUCCUCACCCUCACAUCAGGGACGUCUGGGGGAGCAGCGGGGCUCUGGCAGACUGCUUAUUCCGGGAAUGAAAGUUUGGAGGUCCAGCAGUGGGCACCAAGGGUGUGGGUUGUCCUGGGGAUCAAUCAGGGUGCUUUCUUGCAAGUGACAGAAACGGACCGGCUGAGUAAAGAAGAGGGAUUUAUUAAAGGGCAUUGGGCGGUCUGAGAAGGCUGGGAAACAGCUGAUCCAGGACCAGUCAAGCUGCAGUGGGUCUGCUGAGGCCUUCCGAGAUAUUCCUGGCCACCAACACUUAUGAUAACACUGGGUCAAUAGCAACCCUGACACAGGACGGUGGAUUCUAUUGCUACCACCCACCAUGCCCUCUUGGAUGUGACUAAGAGCAUUCCGCAUGGCACGGACUUCUCUGAGACCAUGGCUCCCGAUUUAAAACCCAGGGGGUCCAAGUCACAAACCCCUGCUCAUCUGCAGGUCAGGCAAGCAAGCAUUUGGCAAUUCAGCUUCUCCCAGGGGGCUGAGAAGCCAGGCAGCAAAAAAUCACUGAUAUGCGUCCAGUGCACCGAGACUGCUUCCCCUCCUUACCAACUCCCUGGAGCCCAAGAUCCUGAAUCAUCUGUUUGAUUAGAAGUUCUGAACCCUAUUGAACUCUACACUAGAGCCUCCCCUCUUACGUUAUUUCACCCAUGAGGCAAAGCCACCCUCAUCUGGAAAGGAAGGAACCUUCUCCUUGCCCAUCCUGCGCUGAGACGGAGGGACUGUACCGAGCAAUCCAGGAACAAAGAAACUGCUCACCAGAAAGUGGUUGAUGAUCACACACUCCUGGGACAGAAAUCCACAGAGGACUUUCAGGCUUGGGAAGCCCAAAGGUGGGGCUCCCUCAGCCGACUGGUGGCCCUGAAUCCUGAUAGACCAAUCCUAUAAUCCCUUCUGUGAAGGGGCCAAGAGUCUUCUAUAAGACCCUUGGGGCCCCUUCUACCCACAUGGGAAAGCCCCCUUCCUUGAAGACCGUGGACUCCAACAAAUCUGAAACACAAUCUCCAAGACCAGACAGUAGAAGGCCUCCUCCAGGUACACUCCAAGAAGGCGAGCUCACUGUAGGGACCUCUAUAGCAGCAAGAAGCUCUGCCUCUUUGGAAAACUCCAUAUGAUCAACAUUUGACCAGAGCCCAGCCAGGGCAAGCCAAUCUCCAGGACACAGACCUUGGCAGCAGACCUGUCCCUUCUGGAAACAUCUGGCGCUCGCUCCAUACCGAGGUGGUGAAACUGAAGGCCCAGAGCAGUGAUGGGACUUGGCCCGGGUCCUGCUGAAAUUUCCCUGCCCGGCCUCCGGUCCUGCUAGCAGAGUGGACACCGACUGUUCCCAGGAAGGGCGCCUUCUGUGCAAGACAUUCGCCUUGCCUUCGUGAAGGAGAAAAAGGGGAAAGGGGCCCACAGGAAUGGAGCCUUUUCUCUCCCUGUCCCCGCCUUUCUUUCAGAGGUCCGGAAGGGAGGAGAGGGUGCCAGUCUUGUGACUCUCUGAUGCCUGGGGUUUGGCACACUUCAAGCUGGCUCUGACUUUCCCCAAUCCCUGCUCCCUCUCCGUGCCUCCCCACAACUGACCACUCUCCCUCAGUCCUAACCUUCAAGCUUGCUUUCUGUCUUCACCCUCAAGAAUACAAUAGGCUCCCACUCUUGCCAGACAAGGCCCUCCCUUGGCUGACUUGCCUCUCUCCCAAGCCUGCGUCUUCUGGAUACCCUUACCUGAAGCCCCCACCCCACCCCCAGUCUGGGCACGCAGGGCCCUGCAAUGUCACAAGCUGCCCCCCUGCUUCCCUCAGUUUCCCUUUGGCGAGGUCACUCAUUUUCUUGUACUGCAGCCCUCUAAGUCUGGGUGCACUACAUGGUUAGCCCAAAGGGCUGCUCUCCAACUAGAUUUCCCUCCUUAUCCCAUCUGUCCUCCUGCCUUUUGGGUCUCCCUCCCCACCCCCACCUCCCGCCUCCACCCUACCACCAGCUCUGCACAGACUUUUCCUCUCCAGGAAGCCCACCCAGCUAGCCCAAGCUGGGGGAGCUGCCCUCCCUCCCCACCGUUGUCCUUUUCAACCUACAAACCUAGUGUCUGUUUCCUGGAUUCCUUCCCUGCAGGGAUGCAAACCCACAGGCUUCCUGGGUGCUCCAUGGACACUUAGGGAACCAGUGGGCAGAUAAAGGACACAUAACCGGAUUCCCUACAGCACUGCCAGACUCCCAAGGCCCAGUGGACUCUUCUCUCUUCUUUGCCAUCAGGAGGAGUGUUCACACUGAGCAUUCCAUAAACUGCCUCCAACAGCUCCUGUUCAGCUGCUCAGUGGGUCCAGCUUUCCCAGGCCUGGCCCCUGGGUCAGAGCAGAAACAAGCAGACCUCAUGAGGGAAAAGCAGGAAGGAGGGACCUGAGUCCCCGUUCUAGACCCAAGAGGGAGAGAGCUUCCUCUGCAGCUCAAUGUGGGAGGAACCCAAGGCAGUUGCGUGCAGACUACCUCCUUUCCGGAAGGUUCCUCCAGCCUAGUCCUUCAGCUUCCAUCCACCCCACCUCCCAGACCCCAGCUAAGUGAGAGUGGCUCCACAGCCUGCCCCAGGGAAGCCUCGCUCUGCAGGUAACUCUUCCAGGAUCUGGUCUGCCCCAAAGGACCAUAGUCCAGUGGUCAGAAGCAAGUGCUCACCAGAAGUUUCCACUUCUGAAUAGGAGAAGUAGAGUCCAGGGUGUUGGCUCUGCCCACACUGGGGUGGGGUUGGGUGGGGUCCAUUUAUUUAAUUUAGUCUCAAUGCUCAAAGAGAGGGGAGACUUAGAUAGUUACCCAGCUGUCACUAAGUGCAUCCAAGGGACACCAAAUACAGGAAGAACCAGCCUGAAGAAGCGACAUUCAGACAGAAGGAGGUGACCAAGGUGCACCGGAAGCUUCCAACCUGUCCUUAAUAAGGGGUUUCAGAGGAUGUGGCUGUUGUCCCCUGGAAAUGAGUUCAGUGACUGGGUCUAGACUCAAUCUGCUCGGCUCCUUAAAUAGAUGUAAAUAAAACAAGUGUCAGAGACGUUC